rnacentral:lncRNA from 1 species
AGGGGGUUGCCAGGCAACAGCCCGGAGGGGAAGAGAGAACCAUCAUUGCCAACAGAAGUCCAUCUCCCCUGCAGCACCCUGGGCAGCCCCGAGAAUUUGCAUGGACGUCCUGGGCUGCACUGCUCAGAGCUCUGCAAAAGGCUCCACAUUACCCCAGCCCCUGACAGCGCAGGCAGAGCGGCUGCUUGAUGAGAACAGGUUCGACUGUUGCCUAAACCUCUUGCUUGUUGUGUAUUCCACAAAUCGUUGUAAAAUCAGAGAGCAUGAUUUGUGUGCUUAAGUGAAAAAAAUAAAAGCCCCCACUGACUCGUCGUUUAGCACGGCUUUCAAAGGCUCUGACGUCAUAUUGGGAGGUGACGGCAAGUCUGCACAUUCAUUUGGGGUUCUCAGUGUAUCUGAGGGAGCCAGCUGGGAAGAAAUAGUCCCCAAAUGCUACAGUCCCCAAAAAGAGGCCCAGGCUGCACAGGGGCUCCAUGCCGUGAGGCCCAGCCUCUGACCUUCCCCUGCUAUUUGAAGGUCAGGGGUCUUGAUGCUGUAUUCUCCGGCAGCAGCUGAGAGCCCGCCCAGACAAACCAGGGAUCACCUGCUCCUCUGGAACCUGUCCCUGCUGCGCAGCCAGGCAGACACCUGUGUGUCAUCAGUAAGUUGCUGUGAGGUGGGAAGGAUUCAGCAGCCAGAGACGGGAAACCUAAUUCUGAAGACCUCCCAGAGGUCUUACGCAGCGCACUUCCUCUCACUCUAUCUUCGUUUCUACAGGGACCCUGUAGGGCACUGCCCAGAAACAAAAGCCCUCAAGUGGCCUAGAAGAGGAUGUUUCAUUGGACCAGAGAAUGUCAGCUUGAGAUGGGGAAACAGGCCCAGAGACGCUGCUGCCUACAACAAGGAGAGCCGAGAGUUGGGGGGACCAGGAGAGACUGCUGCUCACCAGCCUCGUGGAGGGAGAAGGAUCACUCACGCUGGGGGAUGGCAGCUGCCAUGUUGUGAGGAUGCUCAAGUAGCCCUAUGGAGAGUCCCAUGGUGAGCUGAGGCCACGUGCCAACAACCAUGUGACUGCGCUAUCUUUGAAUUGGCUCCUCCGGCCUCAUUCAAGCUUGCAGAUGGGUGACUACAGCCCCCUGUCAAGCCCCGAAAUCCCUGCAAACCUCCUGAAAUCUUGACUGCAGCCUCAGGCAAGACCCCAAGAUAGAACCACGUAGCAAGCAAUGGCCAAAUUCCUGACCUACAGGAACAGUGUGAGGGACUGGAAUCCUACUCCUUGAACCGAGGUGCUU